rnacentral:rRNA from 1 species
CCUACGGGAGGCAGCAGUGGGGAAUAUUGGGCAAUGGAGGCAACUCUGACCCAGCAACGCCGCGUGAAUGAUGAAGGUCUUCGGAUUGUAAAGUUCUGUGAUGGGGGAUGAACACAAUGACGGUACCCCAAUAGCAAGCCACGGCUAACUACGUGCCAGCAGCCGCGGUAAUACGUAGGUGGCAAGCGUUAUACGGAAUGACUGGGCGUAAAGGUUGCGUAGGUGGUUUAUGAAGUUGGCGGUGUAAUUCCGGGGCUCAACCUCGGCGCUACCGCCAAAACUAUUAGACUAGAGGGCAGGAGGGGUACGUGGAAUGCCGAGUGGAGCGGUGGAAUGCGUAGAUAUUAGGAGGAACAUCAGGGGCGAAGGAGACUUACUGGACUGUAACUGACACUGAGGCACGAAAGCGUGGGGAGCAAACAGGAUUAGAUACCCUGGUAGUC